CGUUCAUUGGCUUAAACUCUAAACUCAGUUUAUCUAAAUAUAAAUAAUUUAGACAUCAUUUAUGGUUCAGUACUUUUAUGUGAAUUGAAUAUUUGGAUUUUCAUGAAUGUAAUAAAGAAUUUGUAGAAUCUUGUGAAAUGAAAAAGGUUUUCUACCCCUCGUGGUAGUGUGUUUUAAAAGAAAAAGGUUUCCGUGUGGAAAACAGUUUUUAAAAGGUUUUCUCUUGGUUUUCAUAACUUAAUAUUUCAAAACAAGUUUCCAGGUAGGAAACAUUUUAAAUUAAUAGUUGUGGUUUUAUGGAUAAACUCUGAAUGUGAAUCUGAAUGUGAAUGGUGUAUGAAUGAGUGUAUAUUCAUAUGUAGUGAUUAUAUCCUGUAUUAUGUAUCUUGUACUUGUGCGAUACCGUACAGAUACAGGGGAGACUCUGUCCGUGUGAACAGUGGACUCCCUGUAUUUGUGGCGGAUCUGGCAUACCCUGAGAGUCAGGUUUUCAAAAAAAAAAAAAAAAAUUGGGCACUUCCACUUUAGUUUUAAAUCAAAAAGGAACUACGGGGCGUGACAAAUUAAUUAAAGUUUCAGAGGAAUAAUUUCAAAAUAGAGUUUAGUUAAAGGGUCUAAUAUUUUUACUAUACAUUUUUUCUAUAUUUAUAUAUUUAUUUAUAAAUGUUAGUAUAUUUUUAUUAAUAUAAAAAUGAAAAAAAGUGAAAAAAUAAAAAAUUCAAAAAAGAGUGAAAAAAUCUUAGU
rnacentral:lncRNA from 1 species